rnacentral:rRNA from 1 species
AUACGGAGGGAGCGAGCGUUAAUCGGAAUUACUGGGCGUAAAGCGCGCGUAGGCGGCUUUGUAAGUCGGAUGUGAAAGCCCUGGGCUUAACCCAGGAAUUGCAUUCGAUACUGCAGAACUAGAGUAUGGUAGAGGGAAGUGGAAUUUCCGGUGUAGCGGUGAAAUGCGUAGAUAUCGGAAGGAACACCAGUGGCGAAGGCGACUUCCUGGGCCAAUACUGACGCUGAGGUGCGAAAGCGUGGGGAGCAAACAGGAUUAGAAACCCCGGUAGUCC